rnacentral:rRNA from 1 species
AUACGUAGGGGGGCAAGCGUUGUCCGGAAUGAUUGGGCGUAAAGGGCGCGUAGGCGGCCUGUUAAGUCUGGAGUGAAAGUCCUGCUUUCAAGGUGGGAAUUGCUUUGGAAACUGGCGGGCUGGAGUGCAGGAGAGGUUAGCGGAAUUCCCGGUGUAGCGGUGAAAUGCGUAGAGAUCGGGAGGAACACCAGUGGCGAAGGCGGCUAACUGGACUGUAACUGACGCUGAAGCGCGAAAGUGUGGGGAGC